rnacentral:rRNA from 1 species
UACGUAGGGUGCAAGCGUUAAUCGGAAUUACUGGGCGUAAAGGGUGCGUAGGCGGUCGCGCAAGUCGGAUGUGAAAUCUCAGGGCUCAACCCUGAAACUGCAUUCGAUACUGUGUGGCUAGAGUGCUGGAGAGGAGACUGGAAUUUACGGUGUAGCAGUGAAAUGCGUAGAUAUCGUAAGGAAGACCAGUGGCGAAGGCGAGUCUCUGGACAGCAACUGACGCUGAGGCACGAAGGCCAGGGGAGCAAACGGG